GGGGAGACACAGAGGCUGCCCAACUCAAGACCUCAGAAACCUCCAUGCUGUGACAUGAGCCUGUGACUCCCUGGCAGACCCUCCGGAGCUGAGCAGCCCACCCUCACAUCCCCCCGUUCAUCGCACACCUACUAGCUCUGGCACCUCGUGGUGGAUUAAAGAUGGCGACAGAUUCUUUCCAUUCUCCCUUUUGAGAAGAGGAGUCUAUUUUCCUGACCCUUGAAGGAGGGCUGCCUCUGACUGCUUUAACCCUGAGCUGGGACAGAAGUGACAAGGUGGAGUUCCAGGUCUAGAUUUAAGACUGCUGGUGGCUUCCACUGGAGUUCUCUUGUAACACUCACGCUUGGGAUCUGACCACCAUGUGAGGAAGCCCAAGCUGAUCCAUGGAGAGACCGCAUGGAGAGAGACAGAAGUCCUAGCCUGCCAGCUGUCUUUACCCAGGUGCCAGGCAUCGGAUGGAAGCUGUCUUAGAUUCUGCAGCCUCAGCCACCAUCUGACUGCAUCUAUGUGGGAGAUCUCAAGUGACAACAGCAGAAUAGUAAUGAUAAUGAUGAUAAUAGGUUGUUGUUAUUGUUUUAAGUCACUAAAUUUUGGUGUGAUUUGUUAGAUCACAGUAGAUAACUGAAACAAUCUUUGUUUAUUUAACUGAGAAAUUAUCAAAAUAUUUUUAUUAAUUCACUUAAACACAGCAGUAACUCUAAGUAAUAUUUUUGUUAGUUUUUCAGUAGUUUUCAAUAUUAUUAUGGUCAAAUAUACAUAACAUAAAAUGUAUCAUGUAACCAUCUUGAAGCAUACAUUUAGGGCCAUUAAGUACAUUCACAAUUUUGUACCACCAUCAGCACCAUCCACCUCCAGAACUUCUUCAUCAUCCCAAACUGAAAUUCUAUAUCCAUUAAACAAUAACUGCUCAUUUCCACCCCCCUAGCCCUUUGCAACAACCUUUCUACUUUCUGUCUCUAUGAACUUGACUAUACUCUAGGUACAUCAUAUAAGUGGAAUAAACCUUGUGGUUUUAAACUUUA